CCUACGGGCGACAGCAGUGGGGAAUAUUGCACAAUGGGGGAAACCCUGAUGCAGCAACGCCGCGUGAAGGAAGACGGUCUUCGGAUUGUAAACUUCUGUCCUUAGUGAAGAAUAAUUACGGUUGCUUAGGCGUAAGCCAUGGCUAACGACGUGCCAGCAGCCGCGGUAAAAUGUAGGUGGCAAGCGUUGUCCGGAAUUACUGGGCGGACAGGGAGCGCAGGCGGGAAGCCAAGUCAGCUGUGAAAACUACGGGCUUAACUUGUGGACUGCAGUUGAAACUGGUUUGCUUGAGUGAAGUAGAGGGUGGCAGAAUUCCGGGUGUAGCGGUGAAAUGCGUAGAGAUGCGGAGGAACAGCGGUGGCGAAGGCGGCCAACUGGGCUUUAACUGACGCUGAGGCUCGAAAGUGUGGGGAGCAAACAGGAUUAGAUACCCUGGUAGUC
rnacentral:rRNA from 1 species